AAAACCAACACGACAGAACCACAUCAAAGAAGUGUUUACUUACUGAGAUUGACAGCCGCUGCCGCCCCUCCGCCCCCCAUUUUCCUCCCUCUUUCAGCUCUUGCUAUGGGAGCACCAACCCAACCCGACGAGCAUCUUUUUUGCCAGUUCGUGUGGGAAAGCCGUAGGUAAAGCCACGCUAUCCAGAACCCUUCUUCCUGAAGGUGGCUUUGCAGAGGAACGUGAGCCGCCAGGUAACGUGACACACGGCAGCAGAGCCUCUGACCAAGGGGGGGACAAAACGUGGGGCUGUGAUCCCGCACCGAGUCCCACGUGGAGCUCCUCGCAGAGAGCAGCCUGGGACCAAAGCGGGGGGGACGGCCUGGCUGCGUGCCCGCUGUCACGGCUGCUCCUCAACACGCUGCCACUCGCUGCUGCUGGGGCCAGCCCAGACCUCUCCUACUGCAGGAUAAGCAGUGCUGGAUGUGCCGCUUCCUUGCUUGUCUCAAGGAGGAGGAGCGCAGUAACUUUUAUUGAGGGAUUUAAUGAGAUUCGAGGGGUGCUCGGAGCAACAGAUUGAAGCGAGCCAAACAGAAAGCUGCGCCAAUUGGCCCAUAGAGCUGGAUGGCUGGAUGACAUGACCCCUGGACUCUCGUGGGCCCUGUUGUGUGCAAGGUAUCAUCUGCUUUCUGCAUGGUUUUUCCUCUUCCUGGAAUAACACCGGGGCUGCCUCACUGCCCUCAAGUGCUGUGUUUGUGACGGGAAGGUGAGGACGUGCCAGAAGCACCGGGGUGCAGUAGGAGGGCAGGUGGAGGUGCCGGGCCGGCACUGGAGGGCUGCGUACAGCAGAGGGAGCAAAGCCUGCUGUGGGCCCAGCCUGCUUCAUUUGGAGGGUUAUCUCCAGACCCAACACCUCCAAAUCUAGGAAAGAAAUAGAGCUGUCUGCACUUGGACCACUGAGAAGUCCGGAGCUGGAGGGUGAGCAGCGGGUGCAGUAUCGAAAUUGCUUCUUGCUUCUCUUUUCCUGUGCCAUGCAGACCCUCAGACUUCAGCUCUAGGCACUAGGCCGCUGAUGCUUACAGUCCCAGCCUGCCUCCUUGCCCUUGAUCAGAGCAGCAACCGUGGAGGCCUAUUUCAGAGCCAUAGAGAAGAUGUGGAAAAGUAUCAGAAAACAGCAGGGGACAAAAACACAGUGGAGGAGCAGGAGAUUGAAGGAACCGCCCUCCUUCCUCAUCACGGUGUUUUGCUGUGGCACAGCUUCAGGCCACACAUCAGCCUCGUUUUCC
ensembl:lncRNA